GACUGCUAUCGGAUUGAUACUAAGCCAUGCGAGUCUUUGUAGUAAUACAAGGCAGACGGCUCAGUAACGCGUAGUCAACCUACCCUAUGGACGGGAAUAACCUCGGGAAACUGAGUAUAAUGCCCGAUAGAACAUUAUGCCUGGAAUGGUUUAUGUUCCAAAUGAUUUAUCGCCGUAGGAUGGGACUGCGGCCUAUCAGUUUGUUGGUGAGGUAAUGGCCCACCAAGGCGAUUACAGGUACGGGCUCUGAGAGGAGUAGCCCGGAGAUGGGUACUGAGACACGGACCCAGGCCCUAUGGGGCGCAGCAGGCGAGAAAACUUUGCAAUGUGCGAAAGCACGACAAGGUUAAUCCGAGUGGUUUCUGCUAAAGGAACCUUUUGUUAGUCCUAAAAACACUAACGAAUAAGGGGUGGGCAAGUUCUGGUGUCAGCCGCCGCGGUAAAACCAGCACCUCAAGUGGUCAGGAUGAUUAUUGGGCCUAAAGCAUCCGUAGCCUGCUCUGUAAGUUUUCGGUUAAAUCUGUAUGCUCAACAUACAGGCCGCCGGGAAUACUGCAGGGCUAGGGAGUGGGAGAGGUAGACGGUACUCGGGAGGAAGUGGUAAAAUGCUUUGAUCUCUCGAUGACCACCUGUGGCGAAGGCGGUCUACCAGAACACGUCCGACGGUGAGGGAUGAAAGCUGGGGGAGCAAACCGGAUUAGAUACCCGGGUAGUCCCAGCCGUAAACUAUGCAAACUCAGUGAUGCAUUGGCUUGUGGCCAAUGCAGUGUUGCAGGGAAGCCGUUAAGUUUGCCGCCUGGGAAGUACGUACGCAAGUAUGAAACUU
rnacentral:rRNA from 1 species